rnacentral:rRNA from 1 species
UACAGAGGGGGCGAGCGUUGUUCGGAAUUACUGGGCGUAAAGGGCGCGUAGGCGGCCUGCUAAGUCAUACGUGAAAUCCCUCGGCUCAACCGGGGAACUGCGUCUGAUACUGGAUGGCUUGAGGUUGGGAGAGGGAUGCGGAAUUCCAGGUGUAGCGGUGAAAUGCGUAGAUAUCUGGAGGAACACCGGUGGCGAAGGCGGCAUCCUGGACCAAUUCUGACGCUGAGUGAGCGAAAGCCAGGGGAGCAAACGGG